rnacentral:ncRNA from 22 species
AUGAACCAUUCAGGAGAAGGUCUAUUGAUCUACCGACGGGGCAAAAAGUUGUUAACCGACUUUGAAACUCUCAGGUCUUGUUUACAAGUAGAACUGCAUGG